rnacentral:rRNA from 1 species
AUUGAACGCUGGCGGCAGGCCUAACACAUGCAAGUCGAGCGGAUGAACGGUGCUUGUUCCUGGAUCCCGCGGCGGACGGGUGUGUAAUGCCCAGGAAUCUGCCUGCUAGUGCGGGAUAACGUCCGGAAACGAGCGCUAAUACCGCAUCCGACCUGCUCGAGCAACUGGGGGAUCUUUGGACAUCUUCCUCUCUGAUGAGCCUACGUCGGAUUAGCUAGCUGGUGGGGUAAAUGCCUACCAAGGCGACGAUCCGUAACUGGUCUGAGAGGAUGAUCCGUCACACUGGAACUGAGACACGGUCCAGACUCCUACGGGAGGCAGCAGUGGGGAAUAUUGGGCAAUGGGCGAAAGCCUGAUCCAGCCAUGCCGCGUGUGUGAAGAAGGUCUUCGGAGUGUAAAGCACGUUAAGUUGGGAGGAAGAGCAGUAAGUUAAGACCUUGCUGUUUUGACGUUACCAACAGAAUAAGCACCGGCUAACUACGUG